GUCUUACACUUGAUCUCUGAACUUCAGGUAAGUUCACUUGUUGACAAGCUCUUUACUGAUGCC
rnacentral:ncRNA from 13 species